UUUGAUUGCUAGAGGGAGCAAUUGUCGCAGGAGUUCAUACCGCCAUCUACGUCUCUAUUUUCAUAGUUAUAAUUUUCAUUAGUCGAAGAAUGUCGGGUUAGUUGCUGAAUUGGUUAUCAUAUUGGAAAUGCAGAUAUAUUAUAUCUCAUAUAAAACCAUGAUAGUAUAAUGGAAGAAACAUCUUCGCAGGAUAAAAUUUGUAAACUUAGAUAUUUGCCGAGGAAAAAGACGAUAUGGUGUGAAAAACCGAUAUGGUUGUUAUAUAUUUAUUACAUAUAGCUAUGAUAUAGUAAUAUGCAUAAAUGCUUAUCAUUAAUCUUUAUUUGUUCUAGGGAAAAUGUGUAAAUAUAAGGAGAUAGGUUAAAAUUAAAUUCAGUUUAAAACAAAAUAUUGGAAAAGAGAAAGCGGGACAUAUACAUCGUGAUUAAUACAAGGAUCACUCGGGAAAUCUUCGUGCAUUAGAGUUUUUCUAUGACGGACAAGUACAAAUAUCGUGUGCACCAUCGUUGAUACCGUCGUAUUUCAUCAAGCAUCCGACAUCCUACAUGAAAUACAAAAUACCUUCAAUCCUUCUACAGAUUUACAAAAAGAUAAAUAGGAGGAAUAACACCUUUACAUACUCGACUUUAUAUUUUUUACAAUUGUUCAAAUUUACACACACACGAAGAAACGUAUACAUAUAUUUAUAAGCGAUAUCUUAUAUAAAAAUAUUACAUACAUCGAUAUCAUCUCAAGUCUUACGAACGAUCAGUAUCUAAAUCGAAAAGAGUGAGCAGUCUAAUAUCCUCGCAUCGAAUCGUUCAAAUUCUUGAGGCGAAAUGCUUCGAUCUACGGAGAAAUCCAUUUCAGAUAUCCUCUACGGAAUUGAACACAGGGUGAGUAUCUUUCUCAACGAGAAACUUUAGAGUACUGUUCGAUCAUGGUUUAAAUUUUCUAUUAACUUAAAUGAAACUUUAUACAGAAUAUUCUACGAUUGUAAAAAAGUAAAACAAAAGAGGUUCAAAUAAUACGAACCAACGCCUAUCCAAUGAAUUUCGAAGCUAAUAUAGCAUUCUAUUACUGUCACCGAAAUUCUCAUACGAGUCCCGAAACCGGAUUGUUUAACACACUGUAUCAAGCAAGGAUUCAUCGACAUUUACUAUAUCUGCCAGUAGUACAGGACGUUUGCGAUCAAUCCCAUUCUUGAUCUGUCAAUUUUCGUUAAGGCCUGUCAAUCUUUGGACGGCCUCAAUUAAAUCGGCGAACGGGCGAGUUGAUCGUCCUCGUCGAAAUCUGAAAACGAAUAUGUUAAAUGAGUCAAGCUUGUUUAUAAUCGAUAUAACGUUUGACUCGUGCGUCGUUAUAAGUUUCUCGACGUAGUGCGUCAUAUAGGUGUAAAUGGAACGUUCCGUGAGACGGAAGUACAUCGAACUUAUCUAAAUUGAGUCCUCCUAGUACCACCACAGUUAGAUUAGUCUCUCCUGCAUAUAGAUCUGUCCGUCUGUCCGUACAUUCAUCCUGUCUGUCUGUUCGUUCAUCCGUCCGUCCGUUCGUCCACUCGUCCGUCCGUUCGCUCGUCCGUCCGUCCGUCUAUCCGUCCAUUCUUCGGUCCGUCGGUCCGUCCGUCCAUCGUCCGUCCGUCGUCCGUCGUCCGUCCUCGCUAUUCACUACUGUUACCGUAGGAACUAACGUGUCACUGCAUGCACCGUGAAAUUAAAUGAUCUCGAUUAACAGAAUCGGUCGAAGUACGCGUUCAUCGCCGCUGGUGAACAAAAGUGGAUUUUCGACAAUCUCUUGGGAAAAUAUUCCUCCCCUUUUUUUUGCAAUCCAUGCAAUUAUUUAACGUUUCGAUCUCUCGAAAAUGUCCAUGCUUGCAAUCUCUCAAACGAACGAACGGUCAAAGUAUACAAAAGAAUAAGGACGCACACAAACGAAAUUUUAACGAUGUAUACUGUAGAUGCAAAGAAAAAAGAAACGAAUGACGAACAAAUGAGGACGCGUUAGGUGUUUUAGUCUUCUUUGACAAAUAUCAGCAAAUUGAGUAAAUCUUCGGAGCAUGAUUAUAUGAGAAAGCGGAGUCACGUAUUCUUCAAGUUCAAGCAUUCGUUAUAUUCUAAAUAAAACACCCGCUAUAUCGAAUAGGAUGAAGGAUCGUGGUGAAAAUGCGACGGAACUUCUAAAUCAUUAUUACAUUUACCACCGGUUGGCACUUUACCUUUCUUAUAUAUAUAGGAAAUAUACAAACAUGUAGUAUAUAUAGUAUAUAUACUCACACACACGAUUUAAAGCUACUUCCUUCAUGGUCUAUUUUAUUUUUGAUACCGAUAAAUCGUCUGGCAGUACACGCACAUGAAGUUUCACUUAAAGCAAGUCGGUACGGUCACGAUUCCAAACAUAUGUAAUAUCGUUAAAUCUACGAUCUAUCGUUAGAUGUCUUGAAACUACGUGGAAGUCCCAAACGACUUUUCAAAUAUUAGAAUUCUUUCUUUUCUUUAUUUUGUGAAUGAUCGAUCGUAUAACGAAGAUUUAUUCGUUUUAAGCUUUUCAUUAUCGAUGUCCAUUCAACAAUACGCGUCGCUAUUUUUUUUUGUCGAGCAUACGUUGAUACAGCAAUAUUGUUGCGACUCUCAGAGCUUUGUAUUGUUCGUAAUGAAAAAAAAAAUAUAUAAUAGUUCUUAUAUGUAUAUAUAUAUUUUUUUUUAAUCGAACAGAAUCUACAUAUAUCGCCAUUCGACAGAGAUACGAGCUUUGUUAUAUCGUCAAGCUGACAAUCAUGAAUAUGUCCAGUGAUUGACGCCAACCGAGUUAAAUAAACUAGAUGCUAUAUAGAUAAAUUUUACAUUUAUCUUCGAUUUAGCCUGUCAGAAAAUUUAUUGGUUUUUAAAAAUCAAAUAGGUCAUAUAUCUGUGAUAAAUCGUACGAAUUUGCGGCAAUAUUUGAUCCGUUUAUUUGUUUCUUCGUAAUGCAAUAAUACGAAUUCUCGUGCAAGAUUUCUGGCGUCGGAUCGCGAUCGUAAACGCACGACUGGAUCGUCUUUCAUUAUCUCAUAUAUUUUAAGUACGUAUAAGACUACAGUCAUCAAUCUUCAUCUGCCCGCGAGUAAUUUAAUUAGUUCACGUUUUCCGCCGUAUAAAUAUUCUCGUAUGUAGGAAGGUAUAUAUCUUAGAGGUUCAUUGCUUCGGCCACCCUCUAAAAUAAAUGCAUAUUCAUGAUACGCAUAAACAAGGGAAGACUAACGGAUGUAUAAAUACAUUCAACUUACGUAUUUGUAUAUCCACAUUCGAGGCACAUCUACUGAUACACAAAGACAAUUGAAACUUUUAAGAGAUUCAUUUUGCAGUUAAGUACCGUACAACGUGGCACGUAAAUGAUUAAGUCGAUUAUACGAGGAAUGCCUGGAAUUUCGGUGCGAGGUUUAAUUAGAUCAUCAAUGAGUACGAUCGGCGAUUGGAAAACGAUCGGUGCCCGGAGGGAAGUGCCUUUAUCGAGGGAUGAUAAACUGUAUUCGAGUAUAUUCUCAAAUUGAUUUUUAUCCAAUCCCAAAUUCGAUAAACGUUUCGCGAAUAUUGUUAAAAAUAGUAACAUCGUGGAUUAGUGCGUGCCAAAGUAAAAAACUGCUUAAUAUUUAAUGAACGUGGAUUUAUGAGUUUCGAUUAAUCGUGUUAAUAUUAAAAUAUAAUAUUACAACUUUCCGGUUGUACCAAUCGUAAACGUGGAUAUCCCGUUGCUCGAAAUUAUUUUCCCUCGCUGAACUUUACACUUCCUAAGGACAUUAAAAGAGUUUAUCGAAGAAUAAUAAAUAAAAAAUUGUAUACGACAUGAAAUAUCCGAACAACAUGGUACGAAUUAAUAUAUCUGUUACGAUACUCGGCGGAUUACGGAUUGCGAUCACCAUAAAUAUAUAAAUUUGAAAGGAUAUGAACGUGUUGCCGUAUUACAUGAUAUCGCCGUGGUUAUUCUAUAUAAUUUAGAGUAUCUUUUGUAGUAAAAUCAAGUUCGUAGCGAAAGCUGAUUCGCUUUAAAGUAAUUAGGAAUAUAGAAAUACGUAGCAUGUCGCUUAUUGAAAUAAUAUGAAUCAACCUGUGUGAACUCACGUUAUUACCGUGACGGGAUUAGCUAACAAUUCUCUGUACUAAUUACUUCAUAAUUUGUAGUUGUAAUAAGAUUAAUUUUAAUACUAUGAAAUAUGAUAGCGCGAAGCUUGUAAAUUUCUAAAAUACAUGAAAUUCUUUUCAUAUUUUCAGGUAUGCAGGGAGUACGCUCGAUAGGUUCGAGCUGACCGUUACGACUAAUUUCGCAUGUCGUGCCAUGAAAUGUAGAAGCCAGUUUUAUUGGCUUUAGACAGGCGUGUACGAUAUCCGUGGUAAUUUUUCACGAAAGCUUUCCAAAAUUUGCAGUAGCCUGCAGUCUCGCGAAACAAGUAAUGAGCAGUUACGAACGCUUACAAUGCGACUAUUUCCUCCCUGUAUACACGUAUAUGUACAUAUAUCGGGAGUCCAUUUCAAAGUUGCGCGGUCAGUGAAUUUGUAACGAUGCGCCUAACAAUGUUAUGCGCGAAUCGUCGAAAAAACAUAAAGAACAAUAAUAAUGAUGAUGAUAGUAAUAGUAAUAAUAAUAAUAAUAAUAAUAAUAAUAAUAAUAAUAAUAAUAACAACAAUAAUAAUAAUAACGAUAACGAUGAAAAGCUAUCGAAAGAAAGUCCCAAGCUUGGGGGUGAGCUACGCGUAUGUGUUGAUCUAUGGGGACGGGGGUUGAAACGAAACAUAACCGUAAUAGCCAUAUACUGGAUUUAUGACUCGGCUGUGAAAUCUUGGAAUCGAAAUAAUAUAAGGAUGAUAUACGAUUAAACGUCACUCUCGCUUUUGUGUAAUAGUUCUCGCUUUUGUUCUUCGCAAGCGAGACGAAAAGACACGGUUACCGUCGGCAUCGUAGUAGCUAAUUAACUUACAACUUGGAGUUUGUACGCUCGUAGAGUCGUUCUUGCUUUCGUUUUAAUUCCGGAUGUAUAUGUACCUUAGGGAGGAGGGCGAACGAGUUUCCACGUCGCAUAAAUCGACGAAGAAGGGCGCGGUUAGUAGCGUGCGAUUGCUAAAGAAUUAUGGGAAGCGUAGUUCCGUUUCCAGAAUGCUAAUUUCAAUAAUAGUUUCACGCGCUACUCUUUCUGUGGUCGUAGAAAAUGAACAAAAGAAAGAAAGAUAGAUAGAGAGAGAGAGAGAGAGAGAGAGAGAGAGAGGAGAGGAGAAUAAGCGACGUUUAUAUAACACAAAACAACACAACGUAACGUGACACAACAAGGGGAAAGAGAGUCGAGUUCGCUCAUGCGCUCGUGCACGCGAGCGCACGUUUAGUGUCGAGCUAUUAUUCGGCAGUUAACGAGGCAAAAUGCUCGUGACGAUAACGCCGCGGGGGUAGCUCCCAAAGCCAGCCAAUAAUUAUUACACGACUCCACGAAGCGGUUAUUGUCCCAAUUCGGGGGUCGCUUUGCGGAUAAUGGCUGCGCUCGAGAGGUCAUGUGAGCCUGACGUUCCAGCAUGUCAACAGCAACUAUGCAUCAUCGGAUGUCUGGCGCACGUAAACGCGUCCUCCACCCCACCUCCUAACUCCACCUCCUCAUCUGUUCGCCCUCCGCAUGCUAGCGAUUUCCUCCACCUCGUAUCUGCUAUCCGCUUCUCCACCAUAUCACUCGACGCUUGCAUCCUCCGUCGGAUAUACAGGCGAGCUCGUUCAUUAUAAUAAACAGACGAUCGGUCCCAGGUGAUAUAUCGAUUCGAUUUUACGUCCUGUAAGACUUUGAUUUUCCAUUCGGCCGACGACGACGACGACAACGACGAUGACGAUGGCCUUGGUACGUUUACCGACACUAUCAUUUAUUCAAAACAAUAUAAACGACGAUAUAUGUAUAAUGUAAAUAUAUUUUGUAUGUAGAUGGGAAAGUUUCAAGAUGAUGAUCGUUCCGAGUAGAUCAACGUGUACAUAAUUUCUCUUUUUCUCUCUAUCUUUUUGUCUCUAUAGAUAUCUUUUAAGAAAAAUGAGAUUGCGCUCGCUCGAAACGAUUUGUUUCUUGUUAAUUUUAAUUCGAAAGAAUGAAAGGAAACGUAUCGAUUGACAUUACUUUUUUAUUGAAAAAAAAAAAAAAUUAAAUCAGAGUGCAGUAUAAACGAAGAAGUAGUAUUCGAUUUGAUAUCAAAAUUCGUAAUUGCACGAGUUCGAAUUUUCCCGCGUGCACUUUCGUGGUCUUCGCACACGUGACAAAUUUCGGCAAUUGGAAUGGGCGCUAGUUCCGCUCAAUGAACGCUAUUAACAACAAGUUUUUAUGAAAUUCACGAUGUCGUCAUAAUCACGGGUGAUUAAUAUAUUUUGUGUAUGUUCCAGGAAAUUCGCUUUCACUCGAAAACGUAAACAAAACAUAAACAAAAAAACGAUGCGAUCGACCUUGUUGUAGUGGAUUGGUAGAAUAAUACUUCUCUCAAUAUAACACGAAGUCUGCACGCGACAACAUACUCCGCUCUUCUGCGCGAUCAUUUUCUUGUAGAUCAUUACCGAAUAAAAAUUAUUAACUUAA